AUUGAACGCUGGCGGCAGGCCUAACACAUGCAAGUCGAGCGGAUGAAGAGAGCUUGCUCUCUGAUUCAGCGGCGGACGGGUGAGUAAUGCCUAGGAAUCUGCCUGGUAGUGGGGGACAAC
rnacentral:rRNA from 1 species